rnacentral:rRNA from 1 species
AGCGAACGUUAGCGGCGGGCCUAACACAUGCAAGUCGAACGCGAAAGGUCUUCGGACUGAGUAGAGUGGCGCACGGGUGAGUAACACGUAGGUAAUCUACCCUUUGGCGGGGGAUAACGUUCCGAAAGGAGCGCUAAUACCGCAUAAGACCACGGAGUCUCCGGACGCUGUGGGAAAAGGUGGCCUCUUCUUGAAAGCUAUCACCGAAGGAUGAGCCUGCGUCCCAUCAGCUAGUUGGUAAGGUAAUGGCUUACCAAGGCGAAGACGGGUAGCUGGUUUGAGAGAAUGAUCAGCCACACUGGCACUGGAACACGGGCCAGACUCCUACGGGAGGCAGCAGUGAGGAAUAUUGGGCAAUGGGCGAAAGCCUGACCCAGCCACGCCGCGUGAGUGAUGAAGGCCCUCGGGUCGUAAAGCUCUGUGGAGAGGGACGAAAACCCUGGUUUCAAAUAGGCUCCAGGCUUGACGGUACCUCUUUAGCAAGCACCGGCUAACUCUGUGCCAGCA